AACGAACGCUGGCGGCAUGCCUAACACAUGCAAGUCGAACGAGACCUUCGGGUCUAGUGGCGCACGGGUGCGUAACGCGUGGGAACCUGCCCUUAGGUUCGGAAUAACUCUCCGAAAGGGGUGCUAAUACCGGAUAAUGUCUUCGGACCAAAGAUUUAUCGACUUUGGAUGGGCCCGCGUUGGAUUAGCUAGUUGGUAGGGUAAAAGCCUACCAAGGCGACGAUCCAUAGCUGGUCUGAGAGGAUGAUCAGCCACACUGAGACUGAGACACGGCCCAGACUCCUACGGGAGGCAGCAGUGGGGAAUAGUGGACAAUGGGCGAAAGCCUGAUCCAGCAAUGCCGCGUGAGUGAUGAAGGCCUUAGGGUUGUAAAGCUCUUUUACCCGGGAUGAUAAUGACAGUACCGGGAGAAUAAGCUCCGGCUAACUCCGUG
rnacentral:rRNA from 1 species